rnacentral:rRNA from 1 species
AGCGAACGCUGGCGGCAGGCUUAACACAUGCAAGUCGAGCGCCGUAGCAAUACGGAGCGGCAGACGGGUGAGUAACGCGUGGGAACGUACCUUUUGGUUCGGAACAACACAGGGAAACUUGUGCUAAUACCGAAUAAGCCCUUACGGGGAAAGAUUUAUCGCCGAAAGAUCGGCCCGCGUCUGAUUAGCUUGUUGGUGAGGUAACGGCUCACCAAGGCGACGAUCAGUAGCUGGUCUGAGAGGAUGAUCAGCCACAUUGGGACUGAGACACGGCCCAAACUCCUACGGGAGGCAGCAGUGGGGAAUAUUGGACAAUGGGCGCAAGCCUGAUCCAGCCAUGCCGCGUGAGCGAAGAAGCCCUUUGGGGUGUAAAGCUCUGUCAACAGGAACGAAAAAAUAGACGGUACCUGUGGAGGAAGCAUCGGCUAACUACGUGCCAGCAGCCGC